AUUUUAACAAUAAAUAAUCUCCUGCAAUGUAAACAAAUCACCCACGCGCAACAAUCACACACAAACUCCCGCACACACACGCACGUGCUCGCCUGCUGGAGAGAAAUCUUUUAUUUCAAAAGUCAGUAAACUUGCAUUUCACCAGGCGAACAGGAGUGCCCAGCAACUCGUUUGUUUUGCAGAAAUAUAAGUUGCCGUGACGUCACUGCUAAGUUUGUGGUAACAACAAAAUACUAACAAACAAUCCAUUCACGAUGAAAUUUUUGGUUUUUGUCUUCACUAAAGCUGAUUUUCUUGCACACCCUGUGCAUAUUUGUAUUGUGUUGUUUGUGCGGUAUUUUUGGCACUAUUGAAAGUGUUUUUGUUCGACAUAUUUGUUGACAAUAACAAAUAACACCAAAGAAGGAAUACAGUUGUAAAAUGUAAGCAGUAAAGAGCAAAACAAAAUUACCUGCGAUUUGUUGUUAUAUUAGUUUAAAGGGCAAUUAGUGGCACAUGAAUUUAAUAUAAUGUAGUAACGAAGAAGUUGUAAUUUCCAAAAGUAGGCUGACCGAGAAUUACAAAAGGAUUUUUAUGUGAAAAAGUUGCAAUUCCUCUACAAACCAAACAGCAAAUUCGCAAAUGAUAUGUGGAUAUUUUCCUAAAAAUGCUUUAGAUGGAGCAAAUUUUUUCCGAACUCCCCUCUUAAUGAAUGGAAAACCAGGCUUGACUCUUCCAAUCAUUCAAGAUGCCAAUUCUCGUGUUUAUAAGUUUCCAUUACAUCUUCGGACGGCGCUUGCGGUGUUGUGGGAAAAGAUUUAAGCAAGCAACCUGACUUUCCGAUGACCAGAAUGCUUGAAAUCGAGCUGUAGGAAUAAAGGCUUUCAACAUUUUAUUACAUUUGGAAGUGCGAUAAGUUUCAGCAGAGAACUAUGGAAGGAAGGUGCAGUGAGAAGCGCAAAAUUGUAUGCGCUAUUAGGACGGAUUGGUGAUAAGAUGCAAAUAAUCUCGGAGGAUGUAGAACAUUCUUAUUCAAUAGCUAAAACCUUAGACAAGUGAGAAAAUAUUUUAAGUUUUCCGUCUACAAUAUUCAAAAUAUUUUUUCAGCUGUUAAGUGUGUAUAAACUUAUAAACAAAGAUAUCAGAAAAAGUAUAUUAAAAGUGUGCUUAAAACAAAAAAGUGACAAGUGAGGAGUUAUUGAGAGUGAUGUACACACUUAGUCAUAGCUGAAGCACAUGACAUAGCCGUGGCUAUAUAUGGAAAUUACUGAAAAUUGUCGCAUGUACUAUAUACCUAUAUAAAAAUCUGUAUGUGCAUGUAUGUAUAUCUCAGUUAAUUUGCUCUCGCUUUCAAGCAAACAAUUCUGAAUGCAGAUGUGUAAACUUUAACAAUCUAUAUUUGCGCAGACAUACGGACAUACAUAUAUUAGUCAGUUAGCAUAUCAAAUUAGUCAGUAUGUAAAUAUUCUCAUUUGUGACUUGCUUCAAAUAUAGAUAUAAGAGUAUGUAUAUUGAAAAAUGAAAAUUGCCCUUUUGUCAUUUAAACGACCAGAGCGUAAGCACCCGGCUGACUAAGAAAAUUUUCUUGGAUUUCAUAUAAAUCAUAAAUUACAUGACAAAUAAAAACAAAAUAAAUAAAAAUA